rnacentral:rRNA from 1 species
GACGAACGCUGGCGGCGUGCUUAACACAUGCAAGUCGAACGGAAAGGCCCCUUUGGGGGUACUCGAGUGGCGAACGGGUGAGUAACACGUGAGUAACCUGCCCUUGACUUCGGGAUAACUUCAGGAAACUGGGGCUAAUACCGGAUAGGAAUCCUUGCUGCAUGGUGGGGGUUGGAAAGCUUCGGCGGUUUUGUAUGGACUCGCGGCUUAUCAGCUUGUUGGUGGGGUAGUGGCUUACCUAGGCUUUGACGGGUAGCCGGCCUGAGAGGGCGACCGGCCACAUUGGGACUGAGAGAAGGCCCAGACUCAUACGGGAGGCAGCAGGGGGGAAUAUUGAAAAAUGGGCGGAAGCCUGAUGCAGCAACGCCGCGUGCGGGAUGACGGCCUUCGGGUUGUAAACCGCUUUCAGCAGGGGCGAAGCUUGUGGUGACGGUACCUGCAGAAGAAGCACCGGCUAACUACGUG